GACGUAGGAGGCAAGCGUUAUCCGGAUUUAUUGGGCGUAAAGCGCGUGCAGGCGGUUUGGUAAGUUGGAUGUGAAAUCUCUCGGCUUAACCGGGAGAGGUCGUUCAAAACUACCAGACUCGAGAUUGGUAGAGGAAGGUGGAAUUCCGGGUGUAGUGGUGAAAUGCGUAGAUAUCCGGAGGAACACCAGUGGCGAAAGCGGCCUUCUAGGCCAUUUCUGACGCUAAAACGCGAAAGCUAGGGGAGCAAAC
rnacentral:rRNA from 1 species